rnacentral:lncRNA from 1 species
ACCUCUAGCCAGGGACGCGCGCUCGGUCCCCCGCCGUGCGCCCCCGGUCCCGCGCCCAGGCUCCCGCCCCUGGCCUCCUUACCAGCCACUUGUCGCCCAGCUGCGAACUGGAGCGGGAGGCGGCGGCCGGAGGGCCCAGGACAGCCCCGGGAGGGCGGCGAGGCGGAGCAGGAGCGCCCCGGCUCCGGCCACAUUCUCAGAGUCAGGAAAAGGGGCGAGAGGCCACAUGUCUCCCUCUCGCCCAACUGAAAACGAAACGGCGCUCCAGCAGAUUGGGUGGAAAGAGCUGGGUCUCUUUUCUCUGUUUUUCACGCUAGAAAGGGCUUGUAAACAUUGUUCCUUUUAAAAUGACCUACCCCAGGCAUUUGUUUGGGCACACUUCUGUCCUGGGGUCAUCGUUCCUAGGUGGCUUCGGACCUGGGACUUUUCCUGUAUCUGCACAUUGUCGUUUUAUACACAAUUGCCAAGGUGGGACUGCUUUCAACUUUACUGUGCUUGAAGCUGCAAAGGUUCUGCCCUGAUGUUUCCUGGAAUAAUGCUGAGGACUGCCUUUCGGGUAGCCGCCCUAUUCAGUUCACUUCAUCUCGGAAAUACCUGACCCCUGCCUUGGAUCCAGCGGCCCUCCUGAGAGCUGAGGAAGGAGGAAAUCCUAUGUGUCUGCUCCCGGAGCUGCCACAACCCAUCUUCCCACAACUCGGAACUUGGAAAAAGGAACCCAGGACACGACUUUGCUUUUCUUUUGGACCUAGUUGAAGUCACAGCUUGGAGGAAACCAGUUUGCACUAUUUGAUGAGGAAUUUGGCCACCAAACCACUGAUACUUUCCCAAAGAUACAAGUUAACAGGAUAUGCUUCUGGCCUGUUUCUGGAUUCUAAGGGUAGAACCAGCAUAAAACUAGUCAGUCCAAGUAUUUCUAAAGAUCCACAGACACAGUUCUCCUGGAUUUGGGAAGCCUAGAGAUAUUAGCACAAUAAUUAAGGCCCAACAACUUUUAAAAGCCUUUCCACUGCACAGUGAAAGAAAACCACAAACUCCUUGUUUAAUAAGUGGGAUCACGUGCUUUUAACACGAGGAAAAGGUCAAUCUGAAGCAACUGAUAUGGAACUGCCAGAGUAGGAGUUGAAAAUCUUCCUAAACUGCUGGAGGAUACACCUCUGAUAGCUUGAGACAAAUAUCCUCUUGAUCAUUGUUUCACCAUAUUUGUCUUUGCUCAUGGAGAACCAUUUUGAUCCGUGGUUUAGCCUCCCAGGUGAUUGAACAAUACCGGUGAUCUGAGGCAGACCCUCUGUGACGGAUAACAGGAAAGAAUAUUGAUUGAACAUCUACUCAAGAACUGCAAAACAGAGAUUACCUGACCUAAAGAUGAAUCCAGGAUUCGGUGGUGCCUGUUCCAGGAACCUUUAGUGUGAAGGAUCCUCCAGAUGUGCCUUUUGCCUUCCACCAUGAUUGUGAGGCCUCCCCAGCCACACAGAACUGAGUCCAUUCUCAAUUUUCUGUGCAAAUUGGGGAAGGCUGUUGAUAAUCGGUGGAUGCUAUAGUGCCCAUGGAAAGACUCUAGUCUGAAGAUACCAGUCUCUCCCUCCCAAGAUCACCUCCCCUGACCAACCUUCUGCACUCCUGACAGAUACAAGGGAGCAAGCAAGUUGCACCCAACCUAAUAGUAAAUUGCAGGGACAUUUCCAUUCUAAGGAAGGAAUUUUUGUGUGUGUUGCAACUCAGCUUCUGCUCUGGCAUUUUGCUGUGCAUUUAUAUUGCCAAUCAUGUUGGAGAGUCCAUGUGGUGAUUUCUGAAAACGAGAUGUGAGAAAGAAGAGGAUAAUUUAAGUCUAGACCUACAGAUUGUGCUGAUAAAGUGAUGAAGAACUACAAUCUUCUUAGUCAUUUCAUUGUAUAAGUGCAAUAAAGGAUUUUGUGUCUUUCCUGGCAAACAACUUGUGACCACAGUGAUGGCUCCAGCAGAAUGGAAAAGACCCUUUACCUCACAUCUCAGAAGUAAAGAUGCUGAUUAUUUGACAUCGCCAUUGGAAUCUCAAAACAGUGUAAAGCAUUUGCUAAAAAGAGUCACUUUCUGAGAAAUGACUCAGAAUUCGACUUACGUACUAGCAGAACUUAUUGCCCAUAAAAGGAAAGGCCACACUUUUUGUGAAAACUUAAUAAUCCCUAGGAUGUAAAAUUAUACUGAGUUAAAUCCUAGUCCCAUUUUUAGUACAAGAAACUGGAAAAAAAUAAUCCACUCUCAAAUGGUAAGACAAAUUGAGAUAUUGCUGAAAAGCCUCUUGACCCUGAAAAGUUCUGAAUAAUAAACUGAUAAAAGCAGCAGCAGCAUCUAACUUGACACCAGUCAUGUCAUUUG